rnacentral:lncRNA from 1 species
AGGGAGUGGGUGCUGGAAGGGCUGCCACAUGUGACUUGAAAAAGAGGCUUCAAGUGACUGGAUUUACAGAUCCUGUCCUGUAACGAAAAUUCACAUGUGUUACUGGGUAUUGUGAUAUGCAACCAUGAGGUUGGCGGUUCCAUUUAGUUACUGGAAUGUGUGAUUUCUGACUACAUGGGUUUAUGGCUAAGGAAGAACUCGCAGCUCCCAGGAGAAGCGAGCCAGUUGCUCCGGAGAGAGUUGAUGACAGCGGUGGCAGGAGCACGGGAGCGUGGUUGGGCCCUGCGGAGAGCUGGCAGGUUCAUUUUUGAAUAUUUCCCGCAACAGAUCAGUCUGUAGUCAGGAAGCAGAGAUGAACCGGGGAAGAAACCGCCUUCCUCUUUGAUACCCUUUUAUUUAGUUUGAAACAGAAGCCUAUUGGAUGAUGCCACGUCAUAUUCAAGGUGGGUCAGCCUCCUCAGUUGAGAUGCUCUGCAAUACCAUCGCAGACAUGCUUACGGAUAUGUCUCCUUGGCAAAUCAAAACACAAUCAGGUUGGCAAUGAAGAUUAACCAUCACAGCCCUGUAAUGGUCAAGGAGGAAUGACCUAAGGAAAGAGAAAAGAAGCUGCGGCCCCACUGGGGUGAAACGGUCCUGAGGGUGGAAUGGUCCUUCCCUUCAGACAGACGCUGGAAUGUAUUUCAUGAGGACUCUGGAACAAAAAUCCCACAUUCCAGUCAUUUCUCCUUUGCUGGUAUAGAAAUUGAAGUGUUUCAGCUUGGUUAUCAAAUACUGUGAUGCGUGUGGAAAAUGGGCAGAUAAAAUGGUCCACUUAGACCAUGGCAAAUCUGUCCAAACUAUAGCCCUUAGCGAAAACCUAAUCCAGGAUCAAACAGAAGUCCUGCCGAUGUACACAAAUCACUUAACACAGCUUUUAGAAGAUUGUUGGCUGACUGGCUCUAGACUGAAGGAUGAUGAGAAAUCCAGACAUAGUCCUGCUGGGAAUGUGUGCAGCUUUAAAGAAAAUGUUAAAUUCCCACUCAGUAUCUAUUUAAUAUAUCCCGGCAAGGUCUUUCUCAUAGACUGCAUUGAAAGCACUCCUCAUAUUCAUAUAUAAAGCAGUUUUCCAAAUGGAUUUUAACAAUCUAAUUAAAAUGUG